CCGUGACAGCUCCGAUCACUCCACCACGGAAUAUGUGUUGUACGACAUUCCAGAGUAUAGAAGCGAGUGAGCUCGCUAGUUGGCAGCAGCACGUGUCAAGUCACUACCCUCCCUUUUUGCUGGUAAAGUUGGAGUUCUCACGUGGCAUGCUUAGGCUAACUUUUGGUUGUUUGUAGUUAGUUGGAAAUGUAAGGUUAUAACCUUCUUUUUGCUAAUGGAGUUGUAUAUAUAUAUGUAUCGAAACAGGUUAUCGAUAUUUUGUUAUGUAUAGUAGUAAAUAGUUGCGUUA